CAGCUGCUGUAAGAAAAUCGCACAGACAGACUACAAACAGAGGCACAACUAUGUGGCCCAAAUGAUCCAUUGGAACUUAUGCCUCAAGUACCACCUCCCUGCAGUAAAGAACUGGUGGGAUCACAAACCUGCAAAAGUAUUGGAAAAUGAGCAUGCAAAGAUACUGUGGGACUUCCGAAUCCAGACUGACAAAGUUCUGGAACACAACACACCAGACAUCACAGUUGUGGAAAAGAAAAAGGUUUGGAUCAUUGAUGUCGCCAUACCAGGUGACAGUCGCAUUGAUGAAAAACAACAGGAAAAACUCAGCCGCUAUCAGGACCUCGAGAUUGAACUUCAAAGACUCUGGCAGAAACCAGUGCAGGUGGUGCCGGUGGUGAUGGGCACACUGGGUGCCAUGCCAAAAGAUCUCAGCCGGCAUUUGGAAACAAUAUACAUUGACAAAAUUACGAUCUGUCAACUGCAAAAGGCCACCCUACUGGGAUCUGCGUGCAUCAUCCAAAAAUACAUCACAGAGUCCUAGACACUUGGGAAGUGUUUGACUUGUGAUUUUGUGAAACGAAAUCCAGCAUAUCGAUCUUGUUUGCUGUGUCAUACAACGUCGUUGUGUCAAUAAUAAUAAUAAAUUUUUCUAUCCCACCUCCAUCUCCCCGAAGGGACUCAGGGUGGCUAACAUGGGGCCAAGCCUGAAGAACAAACAGUAAACAGAAUAAAAUGCAUAUAUAGCCGACAUCAUCAUACAAAAAUAGUGGCUUAAUAUGCAGUGGGCAUGGAUGUGCAUUCAGAUGCUCCUCAAAAUGCACCAGGAAACCAGCUAGACCAUGAAGUACCCUCCAAGUAGUCAAUGUGCAUCAUGGUGAUCCACUAACAGGGUUUUGUUUCUGUAACAUAGCCACAGAGUAAAAAAGUUAUGAAAGGUAGGCUUUCACAUGCGGUAUGGAGGAAAUAUCCCAAAACAUGAACAGUGUUCUAACAUGUAAAGCUUUUCCAGAAAUCCAAACAGUAUUGCAGAAAUCAGCCCUGAAUUGUGAGUUUUGAACAGAAGACUAAGGUAAGUUAGAUUGGGUUGCUGUGAGUUUUCUGGGCGGUAUGUCCAUGUUCCAGAAGCAUUUUUUCCUCGCAUUUUGCUCACAUCUAUGGCAGGCAUCCUCAAAAUUUUUGUGAGGUCUGUUGGAAACUAGGCAAAUGGGGUUGGACUGUUCUGUGGGAUGUCCUGGGUGAGAGAAAGAUCUCGUCUGUUUGAGGCAAGUGUGAAUGUUGCAAUUGGCCAGCAAGAUUAGCAUUGAAUAGCCUUGCAGCUUCAAACCCUGACUGCUUCCUGCCUGGACAAAGUUAGAUUUAUAAAAUCCUAUUUGGAAGGGAUGACCGGGGCCAUCCAGUCCUUCUAACAUGUAGGAAGACACCAUCAAAGCACUCCUAGCAGGUGGCCAUUCAUCCAGCCCCUGCUUAAAAACCCCAAGAGAAGGAGACUAUACCAAAAUCCCAAUAUCACACUAUCAAACAGCUCUUGUUGUCAGGAAAUUCUUCCUAUGUUUAAGUGAAAUUUCUUUUCCCGUAGUUUGAAUCUGUUACUUCGUGUCUUAUUUCCUCAAGAUGUUAAAAAACAUGAUUUUCUCCUCCUUAACGUGACCUCCUUUCAAAUAUUUAAACAUGACUCUCAGGUCCCCUGUAAACCUCUUAUUCAAGCUAGAUAUUGCCAGAUUUCUCAGUUGCUCCUCAGAGAGAUUCAUAUUUUGCAUAUUUUCACCUUCCAGCCUAUCCAUAUCGUUCUUCGAUUGUGUGACCCAGAACUGGACACAGGGUUAUUCCAGGUGAAGUCUGACCAAAAUAGAAUAGAGUGGGACUAGGACCCACAGCUGUAUAAAAUCCACAUUACCUGGACUGGAUUAUACAGCAGUGUUGGAGGGAUCUAGGACUUCCUUCAAUCACCAUGCUUCUUUAGCUGCAGUAUUUUUUAUCAUGUCUGAAGUGACUUGAGAACAUAUUUCAAGUCACUUCUGGUGUGAGAGAAUUGUCCGUCUACAGAGACGUUGCCCAGGGGGACAUCCGAAAGUGUUGCUGGGAGGCUUUUCUCAUGUCCCCACAAGCUAGAGCUGACAGAUGGAAGCUCAUCCCAUCUUGCGGAUUCUGUUGAAGUGGGAAUGAUUGUAUAUAGAGUUGUUUAAAUAUAAUUGAGUUGUAGUGAUGCAAUAUGAGCUGGAGAUUGCAUCAUGCACUGUCUGCUGUCCACUAUGCGAGUGUGUAAAGAGUUAACUGUGUAUUGCAUCAGACAGCAGAGGUGGUUAUAAAUAGCUCCCUGUGUUAUCUGUUCGUUCUCUGCCCUCUGCCCUCUGCUCUCUGCUCUCUGCACUCUGUCUGUAUAUAUCGUCUUGAGAGUUUUCCGUUUGUUAGUAAAUCUUUUUUAGAUAGCCAAACAGGCUUCAGCCUCUUUAUUGGUGCCGGUGAUUCUUCAUUGAUCUUCCGCUGCAUGUGUGUUUAUCCAAACCGCGGGCUCUGACAGAUUCGAACUGGCAACCUUCAGGUCAGCAAUCCAACCUUCAGGUCAGCAGUUCACAUGUGUUUAACCCAUUGCACCACCGUGGCUCUUAGCUGCAGUAUUACAUUAUUGACUCUUGCUCAGCUUGUGGUUUAGAGUGCAUCUACACUACACUGCUUUAAUUACACAGCUCUGUGCUAUGGAAUCAUGGGAGUGGUUGUUUCACAGGACUUUUAAAACUAUGUUUACUUGUUACAGGUUGAAUAUCCCUUCUCCAAAGUUUGGGAGCUUUUUUGGAUUUUGAAAUAUUUGCAUCUACAAUGUGAGAUAUCUUUUAAGAUAGUAUCCAAGUCUAAACAUGGAAUUCACUGAUGUGCAAUACACCUUAUGCACAUAGUGGGAAGGCAAUGUUAUGCACAAUUUUAAAAAUAUGUUGUCGAAGGCUUUCAUGGACGAGAUCACAGGGUUGUUGUAUGUUUUCCGGGCUGUAUGACCAUGUCCAGAAGUAUUCUCUCCUGAUGUUUUGCCCACAUCUAUGGCAGGCAUCCUCAGAGGUUGUGAGGUAUAUGGAGAAACUAAGUAAGGAAGGUUUAUAUAUAUCUGUGGAAAGUCCAGGGUGAGAGAAGAACUCUUGUCAGUUGGAGGCCAGUGUGAAUGUUGUAGUUAAUCACCUUAAUUAGCAUUGAAUAGCUUCACCUCCUGGCUUCUUCCUGCCUGGGGGAAUCCUUUGUUCAGAGUCGUUAGCUGCCCCUGGUUGAUUCAUGUCUGGAACACUUCUGUUUUUUAAAAAAUAAUUUUGUGUGCACUAAAUCAUCCCAAAGCAAAGGGGUCACUAUCUCAGCCACUCACAUGGACAAUAUCAGAUUUUGAAUUUCUAGGUAAGAGAUGCUCAGGCCAUAUAAACUGCCUUGUGUUUUAAACCACAAAAAAGUGGUUUCACUUGGGGAUUUGCCUCUUCUACAAUGAGAAAUAUUAUUAUUAUUUGAAACACAACAAGAUGAGUCCACAGCAGACACUCUACUGGCUGUUGUAUUGGAUCACACAUCGGGCACUUCCCAAGUGUAUUAUUAUUAUUAUUAUUAUUAUUAUUAUUAUUAUUAUUAUUAUUAUUAUUUUAAUAUUAUAUUUAUUUAUAUCUUGCUUUUCACUCUUAAAGGAGACUCAAAGCGGCUAGUUCACCGAAAAGAUGCCAUUGGGAAAGAGGGAAGUGACCAAUAUACAUUGGAACCAAUAAACAAAGGACCAAAGUGCAUCAAGAGCAUUACAUAACUGGACCAAUGACCACUUCAGCAAUGCCUAGGCAGUACUGUUGCCCAUUGGUAGAGACCAACUCUAUGGCUAUAACAAGUCAAGAGCCAAAGGCCUGACUACAGAAAGAGCUAUGAAGGAACUUGACAAGAUCCCGAAGCGUCAAGAUAUAUCAUGGAAUACUAAAGUUAGGAUGAUCCAUGGCAUCGUAUUUCCCAUUUCUAUUCAUGCUUUUGAAAGCUGGACAGUGAAGAAAGCUGAUGCGAAGGGAAUCAACUCAUUUGACAUUAAAUGCUGGAGGAGAGAGAUGUUGCAAGACUAAAAACAAGAAGGAGAGGAGCCCUGCAUGCCACCUGGAAUCCACAGAAGUCAGGAGUGAGAUGGAAAAAUAAAUAAUAAACCAAUUGUAGGUGUGAGGACAGCACACAACUCAGGAUGGUCAGCAUUUCAGAGACCAAAAAGGCCUUGUCAGGUCAUGACAUGCGGAAUAUUAUUUCAGCAUGAAAGGAUGCAGGCAAUAUUUGGUCAAAGUAAUGUAACAUUACAUCUGCCAAGAACUAAGGACCAGCAGAAUCCUAUAUGAACAGUUACACUGCAUAACAUUAUGCAUACAAAGCUAUGUUGUUGAGGAGCUAAGAAAUUCCUCUUGGAAUUGCAAGGAUGUGUUGUUGCAAAGAUGUAUCCUGUUGUUCAUCGAUCCUGCUGUGCAUCAGACCUCAAUGCAUACUGGACACUUUGUAAAACACCUGUUGUUAUGUUGCGCCUUCAAGGGCUCUUCUACACAGUCAUAUAACCCAGAAUAUCAAGGCAGAUAAUCCACAAUAUCUGCUUUGAAUUGAGUUAACAGAGCCCAUACUGCCAUGUAA